rnacentral:lncRNA from 1 species
UGUCCGCCGACCUGCUCAUAGAUGACCGGGUGGAUAUCACGGGGGCCGAGCCCAACCCCAGCUGGGAACACGUGCUCUUCACGGCCUGUCAUAACCAGCAUGUGCAGCUGCAGCCGCCGCGCCGCCGGCUGCACUCGUGGGCGGACGACUGGAAGGCCAUCCUGGACAGCAAGCGGCCCCGCUGAGCGCGCAGUGGAGCUGGGGGCCGGGGUGCCCUCGUCCCGCUGCACGGCCCCUCGCUUCUCCAGCCCUGCCAGGCCUUAACCUGUUCUCAAGGCAGCUCUGAAGGACCCCCUGGGGGACCAAGACGAGGGCUCCCGGGCAGUGGGGGCGCCCCCGGGCGGCGCUGAGGCCGGCAGUCCUCACCCACCCCGCCGUGGGUCUGCACCUGUCGGCACCCAUCCGCAAGGAGUGCCAGGAACGCGAUGGGAGAGCGCGGACACGAGCCCGCCGCCUCGCCCGCGGCACCCCUGCGCCCGCCCGGCCUCCGCCAGUGACUGUCCGUCCGCUCAGCAGGUCCCCGUGGCCGCCAGCUCUGUGCUCCGGCCCGCGGGCCACACUCAGGGC